rnacentral:sRNA from 1 species
UUCGAAUGUUGGAGUGUCUCCUACAUUGA